rfam:Astyanax mexicanus chromosome 17, whole genome shotgun sequence.
UAGGAAAAACCUUGUAAGUCACUUUGGAUAAAAGUGUCAGCUAAAUGACAGAAA